ensembl:lncRNA
ACCUUGUGCUUUUGUAAAAUAAGGAAAACAGAAUGCGCUUCAUGUCAUCUUGGUCUUGAACAGGAGCACUUCACAGACAUGAUAAAUAUAUCUAGCCCUAUAGAAUGCUUUAAAUUACUAUUUUAAAAUGAAAUAAUUCAAAUCGAAAACAAAAACUCUUUCAUUAUGUAAUCCGUAAAGAUACAUUUCUCUUUAAAGGCAUGUCAAUUGAGAUGGCGAGUCAGGUUCUGCAGCCUUCCAGAACUUAACAAUCAGAUCUUUUUUUCCAUUUAAAUGGCCACCUUCGAGUGAAUGAUUUGCUGUGAUAGCUGCCACGUAAACUUUGAGUGUGGAAGGGGCAUGCCCAUUGUCCAACAACUCUUGGAGAAAAGAUAGCACAUGGGACAUGUCACAAGAUACUGGGUCCAGGCUUUGUGCAGUACACCAGUCACGAAAGACUGACCAUUUAAGGGCGUAAAGGCAUCUUGUAGACAGUGCUUUAGCCUGUAAAAUUGUAUCAUUUACUCUUGCUGAGAGCUGCAUAGGCUCCCGUCGAUGCUCCAUACAUGAAGGCUCCACAGCUCUGGCCGGGGAUGCAAAUCAUGCCUUUCGCCUGCGAAAGAAGAUCUCAUCUCAGAGGUAUUGGCUAUGAGUGGGACCACCAAGAGAACUGAGCAUUUCAUCUCCCUGACCCAUUUGAUGACCUCAGGAAGCAGGGCUAUCGGAGGGAAGGGAUACAGGUGAGCACUGGGCCAAUCGUGGGCCAGAGCAUCUCGCUGUGUCGAGAAAUAAGUUGGGCAGUUAGAGCUGUCUUCUGAGGCAAAGAGGUCUACCUCUGGCUUCCCAAAGACAGACCAAAUUUCUUGAACUGUAUGAGGAUGUAGGGUCCAUUCUCCCAGAGCCACAUUGCCACAAUGAAGUUGUCCAAGGCGCCACAGAUUUAAAAGCGGCCCAGGGGCCAAGCAUGGGACAGAAUUCUGGCUUUGAGCCAAAAUUGGAGAGGCCACAUGUGAAGCAGGCCCAAGGGAAUCGCAGAGGAGGCGGCCACCAUGAGGCAGAGCAGCCUCUGGAAAACCCUGAGGGGACGAGAUGUUCCCGGUUUUAGGGAAGCUGCCAGUCGCUGAAUAGUCAGCAUGACCCAAGCCUGCAUCUGGGCAGAGUCCAAAAUUGUCCCCAGAAAGACCACUCGCUGUCUGGGGAACAAAUGACUCUUCAGAAUUUUGAUGCUCA